rnacentral:rRNA from 1 species
ACGCCAGUCUGCGUGGAGCCGACCUUGAAAUACCACCCUUUAAUGUUUGAUGUUCUAACGUGGACCCGUAAUCCGGGUUGCGGACAGUGUCUGGUGGGUAGUUUGACUGGGGCGGUCUCCUCCUAAAGAGUAACGGAGGAGCACGAAGGUUGGCUAAUCCUGGUCGGACAUCAGGAGGUUAGUGCAAUGGCAUAAGCCAGCUUGACUGCGAGCGUGACGGCGCGAGCAGGUGCGAAAGCAGGUCAUAGUGAUCCGGUGGUUCUGAAUGGAAGGGCCAUCGCUCAACGGAUAAAAGGUACUCCGGGGAUAACAGGCUGAUACCGCCCAAGAGUUCAUAUCGACGGCGGUGUUUGGCACCUCGAUGUCGGCUCAUCACAUCCUGGGGCUGAAGUAGGUCCCAAGGGUAUGGCUGUUCGCCAUUUAAAGUGGUACGCGAGCUGGGUUUAGAACGUCGUGAGACAGUUCGGUCCCUAUCUGCCGUGGGCGCUGGAGAACUGAGGGGGGCUGCUCCUAGUACGAGAGGACCGGAGUGGACGCAUCACUGGUGUUCGGGUUGUCAUGCCAAUGGCACU